ACUGGCGCUGCGCCGGGCUGUACUCGGCCGGGGGCGUGCAAGCGCAGCGGUAGCCGCCGCGCGUGUUCUCACACACUCCGUUCCGGCAGUUGGACUCGUCCAAGCACUCGUCCACGUCUGCGGGGAGGAAAGGUGCGAGAGAUCUCUGCCCCGAACAAUAUGCACUCGUCGAUGUCUGCGGGGAGACAAGCCGUGGGCGCCCGGAAAACUCUACCAGGCGGCCCGCUCAGGCGCCGCAGCGGGGAAGUAUGGGCGGGGCCUGCCGCCGGGGAGGAGCGAACCCAGUGACGUGCGCGGACAUUCCAGGGGGUGAGACCAGGAUGCAUCUCGGAACCCCAGCUGCAGCUCAGAGUUGUCUGGUCGGAAGAGGGAGCUGGGAGGGCACUCACCCUCACAGCCAUGCUGGUCCUGGGUGGGCGUGAAGCCCUCAUCGCAGACGCACACGUAGGAGCCCUGCAGGUGAAAGAGUGGAGGAAUGAGUGAAUGGAAAGAUGGAUGGAAAGACACAUCAACAGUGUCUCUAGAAGAUUACUGCUCCCUGCCAGUCCUCCUCAGGAGCUCUCAGCCAAUGCCCCCAUACCUUGGCACUUCCU